rnacentral:rRNA from 1 species
AACGAACGCUGGCGGCGUGGAUAAGACAUGCAAGUCGAGCGAUCAUUGGCGGGUAGCAAUAUUUGCCAGUGGGAGCGGCGCAAGGGUGCGUAACACGUGGGUAAUCUGCCAUGAAGUCUGGGAUGAUCCCGCGAAAGCGGGACUAAUACCGGAUGUGACCAUUGGGAGGCAUCUUCUGGUGGUUGAAGUUGGGGACCGUAAGGCCUGACGCUUCAUGAUGAGCCCGCGGCCUAUCAGCUAGUUGGUGAGGUAACGGCUCACCAAGGCUAAGACGGGUAGCUGGUCUGAGAGGACGACCAGCCACACUGGAACUGAGACACGGUCCAGACACCUACGGGUGGCAGCAGUCGAGAAUUUUUCACAAUGGGCGAAAGCCUGAUGGAGCGACGCCGCGUGGGGGAUGAAUGGCUUCGGCCCGUAAACCCCUGUCAUUUGCGAUCAAACCUCAUUAUUUAAAAGAUGAUGAGU